rnacentral:rRNA from 1 species
GACGAACGCUGGCGGCGUGCCUAAUACAUGCAAGUCGAACGCUGAAGGAGGAGCUUGCUUCUCCGGAUGAGUUGCGAACGGGUGAGUAACGCGUAGGUAACCUGCCUGGUAGCGGGGGAUAACUAUUGGAAACGAUAGCUAAUACCGCAUAAGAGUAGAUGUCGCAUGACAUUUGCUUAAAAGGUGCAACUGCACCACUACCAGAUGGACCUGCGUUGUAUUAGCUAGUUGGUGAGGUAACGGCUCACCAAGGCAACGAUACAUAGCCGACCUGAGAGGGUGAUCGGCCACACUGGGACUGAGACACGGCCCAGACUCCUACGGGAGGCAGCAGUAGGGAAUCUUCGGCAAUGGACGGAAGUCUGACCGAGCAACGCCGCGUGAGUGAAGAAGGUUUUCGGAUCGUAAAGCUCUGUUGUAAGAGAAGAACGAGUGUGAGAGUGGAAAGUUCACACUGUGACGGUAUCUUACCAGAAAGGGACGGCUAACUACGUG